rnacentral:rRNA from 1 species
GUGGGGAAUAUUGGGCAAUGGGCGCAAGCCUGACCCAGCAACGCCGCGUGAAGGAAGAAGGCUUUCGGGUUGUAAACUUCUUUUACCAGGGACGAAAAAAAUGACGGUACCUGGAGAAUAAGCCACGGCUAACUACGUGCCAGCAGCCGCGGUAAUACGUAGGUGGCAAGCGUUGUCCGGAUUUACUGGGUGUAAAGGGCGCGUAGGCGGGAGAGCACGUCAGGAGUGAAAUCUAUGGGCUUAACCCAUAAAUUGCUUUUGAAACUGUUUUUCUUGAGUGAUGGAGAGGCAAGCGGAAUUCCUAGUGUAGCGGUGAAAUGCGUAGAUAUUAGGAGGAACACCAGUGGCGAAGGCGGCUUGCUGGACAUUAACUGACGCUGAUGCGCGAAAGCGUGGGGAGCAAACAGGAUUAGAAACCCGUGUAGUCC